GGGCCGGUAGCUCAGUUGGUAGAGCAACUGACUUUUAAUCAGUAGGUCUCGGGUUCGAACCCCGACCGGCUCACCA
rnacentral:tRNA from 1 species